CUUGAAUUUGAUCCUGGCUCAGAACGAACGCUUUCGGUAUGCUUAACACAUGCAAGUCGAACGGACUAAUUGGGGCUUGCUCCAAUUAGUUACUGGCAGACGGGUGAGUAACACGUGGGAGUCUACCCAUCAGUACGGAAUAACUUUUAGAAAUAAAAGCUAAUACCGUAUAUUCUCUACGGAGGAAAGAUUUAUCGCUGAUGGAUGAGCCCGCGUCAGAUUAGGUAGUUGGUGAGGUAAUGGCUCACCAAGCAGACGAUCUGUAGCUGGUUUGAGAGGAUGAUCAGCCACACUGGGAGUGAGACACGGCCCAGAUUCCUACGGGAGGCAGCAGUGGGGAAUAUUGGACAAUGGGCGAAAGCCUGAUCCAGCAAUACCGAGUGAGUGAUGAAGGCCUUAGGGUUGUAAAACUCUUUUAGCAAGGAAGAUAAUGACGUUACUUGCAGAAAAAGCCCCGGCUAACUCCGUGCCAGCAGCCGCGGUAAGGCGGGGGGGGCUAGCGUUGUUCGGAAUUACUGGGCGUAAAGAGUGCGUAGGCGGUUUAGUAAGUUGGAAGUGAAAGCCCGGGGCUUAACCUCGGAAUUGCUUUCGAAACUACUAAUCUAGAGUAUAGUAGGGGAUGAUGGAAUUCCUAGUGUAGAGGUGAAAUUCUUAGAUAUUAGGAGGAACACCGGUGGCGAAGGCGGUCAUCUGGGCUACUACUGACGCUAAUGCACGAAAGCGUGGGGAGCAAACAGGAUGAGAGACCCCUGGGAGUC
rnacentral:rRNA from 1 species